GACAGGCCUGGUUCUCAGCUGAGCCACUGGAACAACUAUUUAUUAAUGGGGUGCGGCAUCCCAAGUGGGAAGGAAAGCAUUAGCAAGCAGCUCCUGGAGGGCAGUGGAGGAGGGAGGCAAGGGGAAUUCAGGAUAACACGGGGAAGUAGAGCAGCUGGAGAGGGCGGAUGGCAUCGGCGAGCCAAGAUGUUGAGUGAUCAAGGGCAUGAGAAAGUGAGGAGCUGUCUGAAAUGGCACCGGGGAGGUCUGAGCCUGGGGAAGGAUGGGUGCAAAGCUGUUGCCAGCCACGAAGAGAAAGUUACAGGGAAGAUGGAAAAGCAGAUACCAGAGUCAAACAGUAAGGAACUUUCUUGAACGCUUCAGAAGUGGGUGGUAUUCAAGACCCAUGAGCUCUUUUGCCUGUUGCCUUCUGGAGGGUGACCAAAGGUGAACACAAUUGAGUGCUAAUCAUAGCCAAAGAUAAAGGAGGGCUUGAAAAUGAAAGCUGCAGAGAGGAGAUGACUAAUGGCCCAGCCAUUUCAUGGGAACUGACGCGGUGUCUCGGGCUGCGAGUCGCCGGGCUGCUAUCUCCAAUUAGCCACGCAGGAGUUUAGGAUGCGGUUGUCUGGUCUCAGUGCUGGCUCUUGUGGAGGAAGGGAGUUUAGUAGAAAUGACUAAAGGUAAAUAAAUGUCCACAUCCAGUCUUGGAGGAGUUUGAUCAGAAACAAAGUGCUUUUUCUGUCUGGGGGUACAGUGUGCACAUUUCCUGGUACUGUGGAGAGCAACCACACAUGAGCAAAAGAUGCGUGUCCUGGAAGAGCUCUGAUCUUAAGGAAGUGCUGAGAGCUGCCGUAUGCCCCACACUGCACAAGGAGCUGUGGAAGAUCUGCAUUCCUCCUGGACCCAGCGCUUACUGGUGCAGAGGCUUGUGGUGGGAUGGGAGAUGGAAGAUGGAGCUGGAGGAGGUCCUGGAGAGCUGCGUCUGGAUCCAGUUUUCUGAGCCUUGAGGCCAAACCAAGGUUCAGGCAAGAAGGCACUCAGCUUCUGGGUGGUGACAAGGAACAGGACCUCCAAAGAAACACCAUUUUUUUUAAGGGAUUAAUUCAAUAUUGACCGCUUUCCCAGAGUGCCGUCCCAUUGCCAGUUCCGUGACUGAGGUCUACGACUUGACAAGAUGAGGAACAUCUGGGCCAAGGAUUGCUCUGCAAGCGGUUGAGUCCCGGGGCUUAAUGAGGCACUGCUUAUCAGCAGAGCGUGCUUAUCUGGAGCCCGCUGCCGGUGUACCUGCUCCAGCCCCAUCGUUCUUCCACCAGUUUUCUGCUUAUACCACUCAUGUCCCCCUUCAUGGAACUGGGUGACCCCUGAGAGCAGAAGGAUUAGAAGGGCUUUGUGGAGGAGUGGUGAACAUGCCAUGCUACUUUUGGGAUGGAGAAUUAGCAACCAUUUUGCCUCCAGGGAUGCAGAUUUUGAGCCUGCGAGCUGUAAUGGGAUCAGAGGUGAGGAUGCAGUACUCAGUGCCAGCCUUGCUAUCCUGCUGGGAGCAGAGCUUGUGUCCACUGCGUGAGCCAGAAGAGACAGACAAAAUCAAGUGAAUCGGACAGCAUGCAAUACACCAGCUCUGAGGUCUAGCACUGGCAGUACAGCACGCGGGGACCGGCGCUGGCGUGCACCUGGGCGCAGCUCAGAUCACCCUGCAAAACAUGCACCAGCAGACCUGGAAACCUCCAAGCCCAUGCAGCAGCUUCCCAUCGCUGCGCCAUGUCUCUGCCCUUCUGUGGGGAACACACAAGGGGUGAACAGGCAAGGGGUUUUUUGGGGGAAACAAACCCCAGCUUUUGUCCCGUGUUUCAACUUCCGUGGCCGACAUCAAACGCGUCGCUGCAGCCUGAGCCCCCACAGGCCUGACGGAGGAGCAAAAAGAGAGGGCUGGAGGCAGCAGAUCCUAAUCUUUAUUAAAUAAGAACAAAGCUUAUGCCGGCUAAUGAGAAAAACAAACUGAUGAAAGAUCCGGCGAGCUCCUCAGAAGGACACAAAGAAAUUCUCUCUGAACAAGAGCAUGCUAAAAAUAUGCCCGAAUAUUUAUUUUGCUGGCAGUGGCUUCACAGGCUCCAGAUUCGAUGCUGUCUCUUCAAGGACUGGCACAGUGAUCUGGGAGCAGGGUGCUCCAUCCUGUGCCACAUUCAGAGCUGUGGCAGUGCCAGGAGGUAGACACAGGGCCUAUGUGCCUAUGGAGAUCUUGGGUCUCCAUGCUGCCAGGCCUAUGUGCCACCAGGUGUGUGAGGACAUAAGGGCACUUUGCUAUCUUUUGGAUGCCCCAUUCCUAGAGGUGUUCAAGGCCAGGAUGGAUGGAGCACUGGGCAACCUGGUCUCAUGCCUGUGGUUGACAAGGUUGGAACUGGGUAAUCUUUGAGGUGCUUUCCAACCCGGCCAUUCUGUGAUCGUUUUGUGUUUGCUGUCUGGUGGUCUCAUCUAGGCAGAUCCUACGACGUAUGAAAUUGCCACAUAACACAGCAGGGGGCUGUUCUGAAAUCCCCUCCCCAGCUCCCAGCCUGCUCCACCUGAGCCCUGCACCUCAGCUUUGCCCAAAGCUGGAUGUGACUAAAAACGUCGCUUAUAAAGGCAAAAGCAACGCAGUUCCUCCUCCACCUCUGCUGACCAUGAAACCUCAGCCUCUCCUGUUUUAAUGUCCUGUGCCUGAACUUGCUGCCAGCAGGUCAAGGGGAACAUAAUUUACUCAAGCUUUGAUGCAUUUGAUACAGGUUGGGGUGAGAGGUGGGGGGAAGCUUAAGAGGCUGCCCAGGAUGGGUUGGAAGGUGCCAUAGCCUUCUGCUAACCACGAGGUGCUGCCUGGGGAGGCUCCUCGCAGCGGGUGGGAGGCAGCAGGCAUUUGUCUGCGGGCCUCUUCUUAUCUCCCGCUCUGAUGAGGAGAUUGGGAAGGAGGGGAGGCUCUGCCUGUGCUUGGCGCUGCCUGGAGAGGUUUCCGAGUGCUCAGGAUACAAACCCCAAAACCCUGUGCAUCCCCACUCCUUGCCCCUCUCACUGGAGGCAGUGACCACCCUCAGCCACGUGCUGCUUGGUGUAGGACUUUCUGUAGGUAAAGGAGCUGCAUCCAAUCCUGAAGCAAAGUGGGAGCAGACAGAUUUUGCAAACAGCCCCUCCUGAUGACGUUGCUUUUGGAUCACAUCCUGCACCUCACUAUGAGCACUAGGCCAGAGGCUGGUGCUUCCCAGUACAGGUUGAUCUCCCCCCUCCCCUUUUAUUUUUAUUUUUUAAUUAUUAUUAUUUGGAAGUUUUUGUUUGUUUGUUUUCAGACAGAGGAAACAGAGGAAAAAAAAAACAACACCCCCAGUGAGAAGAGGUGCCCAGGCUCUGCCCUGACCCACUGCUGUUCAGCAGGAGGAAGCAGAGAAGUGUGGCUGCUGUGAUUUUGGUUCUCACUCCACCUCGCUGCCCAGGAGCCAGGCAAGUGGCUUAGGAGAAGAAAGGUCCUCUGAACCAACCUGCUCUGGGGGGGGCUCCCCCCAACCAUACAGAGGGGUUGGAAAUAUGAGGGGGGCCUGGAAAAGCAGGACACCCCCUGCAAGCCCCCACUCUGGUGUAUUGAUAUUCAGUGCAGAGUGAGGGGUGUAAAUUCAGUGCUAUCUCCUCACCGCUCACCGUUUAUGCCGUUCAUUUCACAUAGAUGUCACUACUGCCUUAUAAGCACUCCUCUGAGCCAGCCGCUUAAAUGGACCCAGUGCAUUAUAGUAAUGGAGUAACUGUAUAAAAACAAUGAAAUCCAAUCUCUUUAAACUGAUUUGAUGUCUGCCUGAACCACAACAUUUCCUGCUAAUGGCUUCCUUCAUUUUGUAACCGUGAUCUCCACCUGAUCAGAUUACAGCUGUUUUUAAUUACAAAGCUAAUAGAGUUUGUAGGCAGUGUCGGGAGGAUGGCGCAUGCCCCGGGCAGAGGGGAGUUGGUGGGGGCUUGGGGUGGCUGUGCUGACACUCUGCCUAUGGAGCAGACUGUCACAACACCAGGAUGGGGACAGCUGGGAGGGAUGGGGACAGAAUAGGGAUGUUGGUGCCAUCUGACUGCUGCAGCUGAGGGCAGGAAAAAGCACUGAGGAUGACUGACAAUGGAAAAAGUCCUCAAGAUUGAUGUCUUUCUUAUGGGAUAGCAAAGCCAGCUGCGGGGUUGGAUUCCUCUACCUCAGCCUGGAUGGUGGAGCCCUGGGGAACAUCUGUGUGGCUCAACCUGAUCCCCAAAGGGCUUGUUUUGUCUGGCAGUUUGUUUGUUGAUUGUUCCAGUUCUGUAGGUUAGAAGCACAGAGUGGAGUAGCUGUGGGGAGAGAAGCAGUUUGAAAUCUGUUCCCAAAUGAUGAUUGCUGGGAUGUUUGAUGCCCAGAAAACACUGUGGUGUGUUAGAGAUGCUUCUGAAUAGCCCAUGCUGGUGUUUAGGAUUCAGCUGAUGUUGGGCUCAGGUGAAAAAUGUCAGCAGCGAAGGAGAGCAGCUUCUCCAGCUCAUAGCCAAGUCCUGCGGUGAGAAUCUCCCAUUUGGGAUGCUCCAGUUGCUCACGUGCCCACCAAGACACAGCAGUGAGCAAUCCACUCCCAGCAGCUGAUGCAAGGGGAGGACAAGGCAGGAGGAACCCCAGAGCCCCAUGAGGAAGUUCAUGCUGCUGAGACCUGCUUUGGAGCUGCUCCCACCAACUGCUUCAUCACACUGCUGAGGAUACUCAUCCUCCACUGCCUUGGUGCAGGAGCUGCUUAUGCCAGGUGAGGCCUUGUAAAUGAUUUAGGGUCCACAUCAAGAGCGCAUCAAUUACAUACCCUGAGACCUAAUUAUUUCGCUUGACAGGAGUCUCUCUCCUUAAUUUCAUUGUCUUCUCGGUCUCCCCUUUCACAUCAGGGCUGUGGAUGAUCUGCUGGGCAGUGUGUCUCAUUGUGUUUUCUUCUCCUUCCCAGUACUGCCCAAACUCAGCUGUUUUCCCUUUCCCUUAGCAAAAAUGAGCCCUGGACACUGUGCUGAGGCCAGUGACACCAACACGAACUGCCAAAACACCAAACACUGAGAGCCAGUCCUGCCCGGGUGAGCAGAGUGUGGGGAUGUACCAUGUCCUCCCCAUAACUCGGCACUCUGAGGUUAGCGAGAGUGUUCUCAGAGCAAACCCCAUCCUACAUGAGUCGUUGCUGGUGAGACCCAACUGCGUGCACUGUGCUGUGGAGCAGGAUCAGCCCUGCCAUCCAGACUCUGCCUGUGCCCAAUGCACCAAACUGUGCGUUUGAGGAAGUACUUCUGGAGUUUGAAAAGGUCCGGAUGAAUUAAAGAAGAGGAGAAAAACGAGAGAAAAAAAGAAAGGAAGAAGUAGGGAACGAUUAAAAGGCACAAAUAAAUAAAUAACACACACCAGAUUUCAGCUCCGAGGCGCUCAAUAAAAUUACACUUUGAAAUGCAAGGAUUAAGCAGGCAGGGGGAGCUGGAAGAAGUGGGGAAAGCCCUGAUAUCUUUCAGAAGCUGUGUUGGGAGAGAGACUGGACCAGUCUGAAGGCCACCAUAGUCAAAGCCCAGCAGCACAGCUUGAGAAGCUUGAGACACAAGCAUCCCACACACAGGUAAGCAACUCCAUGGAAGCCUCACAUGGGUCAGGUUUACCCAAUUUUCUGGUGAGAGCAAAACGUCACCCCUGCUGCCAAAACCCCAGUUCAAAACAAAAACCAAGGGGAACAUCCAGGUAUUCCAGAUCACAGUGGCACCAAGGGUAAAUCACAGCAAGCCAACCAGCCACGUUAUUGGAUUACCUUUCCCCUAAGAUUUGCCUUUUAUCUUACUUAGCGAGGCAAAGCAUCUCAGAUGGAAAAUUUGGUUGGAGUAUUGGUUUUGACUUCCUUUUUCACAGCCGAUGCACACAAUGUAUGCACAUAUCUCACUGCACGUUUGAUAAAUUCAGCAGCAGCUUUACAGAGUUGGCUCUAUUAGAACAGCUGAUGACAUGAGCUAAAAUGACCGGGAAUUAACAUCCAGAAGUGGAUGUAAAAUUAUCAGACUUCAAGAAACUCAAGAGAAAUCCUGUCCUGUAAAACAGUGGUGCAUUGUUCCUAAAAGGCAUCUCUUUUCUCAUCGCCCUUCAUUCUUCACCCCACCCCCUUCUUUCUCUCAUUUGAAACUCAAAUUUACCUCUGUUCAAUUCCCGCUCUGUUGCUCACAGCAUCUUUUAUUUUCAUAGUAGCUUGGCCAUGCAGAUUUUGAGACUAAGACCUCAGAAGACACACACCUUGUUAUAAUGUUGUAUCUGGGUUUUGGCUUGCAUGGGUGCUGCGCUGAACCAGCUCAGUUUACUCAGCAGCAAAUAAUAACAACAAAGUCAUUUAUAAAGUCAUUUUUGGUUGGGUUAGUUUUAUGCCAGCCCAACACAUGGAGGCAAUUCUUUGCAGGGUCAAAUGAAGAAAUAGGGUGGAAAGCAGGGAUAAUGGAGGACAGUUUGUUAAUGUUGGUAUAUGUAUCUCAUUUGUGUUUUUGUGCUGAUUCUUGCUCAAGGCAUUGACCUGACCGUGGUGGUUAACAACAGCUCUUCAUUUAGUCCUAUCCUAAAACAGACUUAUGUGGCUUCUGUAUUUUAAAGGCAAUUUAAUUCAGAUCUUCUCUAAGCAGGACUAUUUUGAUGGAGCAGGAGAAGUGAUGACACAAAUAGCUGAUGACAUGAAUAGUUCUGCUGGCAGAGCGGCAGAGGUGGCAACCUCUGGAUGGGAGCCAUGAGCCACAGCUGCAGACAGGCACCUCUCCAUGGAGCUGGAACAGGAUGCACAGCCCAGGGCUCCUGUCACCAUCCCACCAGGUCAAUGGAAAGGGCUGGAGCAAGUGAAAACUACUCCGAAUGUCUGCUCAUAAAACCAAAGGGAGCAAUUAUUAUUAAUGUAAUUAUUGCUGCAGUUUGAAAAUAUUCACCUCAUCCUUUGCCAUUCUGCUAUUUCUCUUGAUCUAGCACCCGGUUCAAUUCCCAUCCCAGAGAAAAGCAGAAAUGUCAGGAUACCACAAGUUGGUCUCUGUAGCUUUUCAGGCCAGGUAGAAGCAGAAGUAGUGGGGAUUUCUCAUGAAUUAUCCACCCUGUUUCUAAAAGUGUGUCUGUACAGUUGCUCGAGUGCCUCAGCCUCAGAUACUGCAAGGCACCAGCAGCAGCGUUUCUGGCUGUGAUUUGGCUGCAGUGUCGCAGAUGCCUUGGAUACCAUGAGCUCUUCAGGGAUGAAGCCUGCAUGUAUUACUCUGGGUCCAACUGAGCAUUUACUGGAAAAGAGAAGGCAAUGCAAAGGGGGAGCACCCUAUGUGACUCAGGGCUGAGCAAGGCCAAGCGGUGCUGUGUGACAGUAAUUCCCAGCCAUUAUUGCAGCCCUCAGGAGAUCUGCUGCAAACUGGAAUAGUUUGUAACAGCCCUGAGGGACCAGGGCCAGAGCAAGGGAGAUAGCAGCCAGCUUUGUUCCCCUCACAGGCCUGAAGCUCAGCAUGACUUGGAAAGCAGAGGAUUUGUGUGUUCUUCUCUCUGGGAAAUAGGAAUCCAAGGAUGCCAACAGACUGGGACUCUUCUUCUGUUGGAAAGUGCAAACUAGGAGCGCUGCACAGCUGGGCUAUCUGUUGCCCUUAAUCCAGCAGUUGCUUCUGAUCCUUCUUCUUCUGCUCCUUCUGAAUGGACUCCUCACUUUAGUGGAGUAAUGGUGUUGUAAUGGCGUUUUCAUUCAGGGCUGCAGGGGCAGGAGGGAAACACAGCCACCCACCUACCCCUGCAACCAUGCAGGGCCAUCUCUUUGAUGCAAAGCCCCUUUGGCCCUAUGCUCCCAUGUGAGGCAGCUCCCCUCUUUUUGCAUUUCAAUCACACGCAUCUAAAUCCAGUCAUCUGGGAAUCUUAUCAGAAACUCACGUAAAGGAGUCCUCUCUGCUGUGUAAUUACAGGGCCCCACCAAGCGGGUCCUUAAACACUUUGUGAGUCAGCUGAUGGGGACGUGGCCUCAGGUACCCAACCCUCCAGCAAUGAAGGCCAUCAUCAUUAGCUAACCUCCUCCAGGGCCGGUAUGUGGCAAGCACUGGAAUUCACCACUUUUCUUUGUCAGCCUUUGACAACUACUUGCUUGAUAUAAUUACUUUCAGUGUUAGGCUCUGACUAAUCGCAUGGCAAUGGCCAGGUUUAUAAUGCAACAGUGUGUAGCCUGGAGCAAAUUCUGACAUAAUUACACUGUAUAAAUUCCCCCAUUAGAAAUGACACUGCAUUGGCAUUGUGUACAAAGCAGCCAUGGUCCAGUCAACUGGCUCUGUGAAAAUCUGUCUGACAAUUGUUUACCCUGUUGGUAUCUUAUUGACACUUCAUACAAUGAUGAAACUGUUACAUGACAGUGAAUGGGAGCCAGAGGCCUGGACGAAUCUCCCAUUUCCUCUCUCUUCUUUCAAGUGUGGUCAUUUUCUUGCCUGGUUUACUCUGCAUGACAGCUUGCCCGCUUCUGAUGGCUCUGAAACAGAAAGAAUAGCCAAUGGUUGCAGCACAAAUCACAGAAGCCUAUAGAAAUCUGCUUGGGGUUGCAUCAUCUGCCCAAAGGAGUCUUUGAAGGAUGAUCAUGGCCAUAUUCAGCCCCAUGGCGCAGCACACUGUGGUAAAGUUGGCUGUGAAAACAAAGGCUUGAGGCAUGCUGCAAGGGCAGCUUUGUCACCUGCCUAAGCCAAGCAUAUAUGUAACUUAAAAUAGGAAGGCUGUGCUAGAAACACGUCUUAAACAGCAGGUCUGCAAGUGGCAGAGUAGCACCAAAUGUUGAUACACUGUGGGGUUGGAGGAGGAGGUUUCCAGUCUCCCUCUAGCCUGAGACACCUGAGAGCAUCUGAAGUGGUGGGAAUGGGAUCCGGAGCCUUUCCAGGUCUUUAGUUUCAAGCUGGCUCCAGAGACUUCCAACAUGGGCAGACUUAGAGAAGCCAAAAAUGGAGUUUUGAGUUAGAGCCGAGAAAGAGGGAGAAGCUGAAUACCUGUCCUUGUCAGUGUUCCUCGCAGUAUGUUGUCUAUACCAGUCGAUUUAUGAAACCUCAAGAGUUUGAAUGUCUUUAUUUCCCUAUGAAACAGAGUGUUCUUUAAAGGAGCUGUUGUCAUGUCCAUUUGGAAACUAUUUGGUAUUCGUGCAAUAUAAGCAACAUCGGAAGCAUCUGUCCAUUUUCACCAGGUAAGAGUCAAACCCAUUAACCAGACCUGGAGCAAUAACCCACCUCUUUUGUUUUCAGUAUCAUCAGGAAAGCUGUGAUCUGGAUGAGUCAUUCAAUCUCCUACCUGAGUGUUUGCAGAUAGUUCUGCCUUCUGCCAGCUUGCCCUUCAAAGCUGUGGGUCCAUCUGCUCAGCCUGACUCCAACGUGCACCAUUAACAACCAGGUUGGCGGGCUGGGCCAAAUUUUGACCACUGAGCCGUAGCUGUUGCUGGUGUGAAGAUCUUGGCUGUUCCUCGCAGAGCCAUGUGAUUUAAUAGCGGUAAAAGCAACUGUUGCAUGAAAAAUUGAACCAGCCUAUGCCACGCUGAGUGCUGAACAUUGCUGCCAUUCAGGAUAAUACUGGGGAAAGAGUAAACCGACCAGUCAUGUUCUGAAGGAUGGCCUACUUCUCAGUGAGACUUUGUGCCAGAUGGCAUUUGGGGCCAAGCAUCUUGGCAUCUUUCAGCCAAAGGAAUUGCUCUGCACUUCACCUUCAAGCCUGUGCUUGUGCCACAGCUUUGGCAAUGUUUUCUGCUCAACGCUCCGAUAUCUAGAAUGGCAAUGGAAAGCAUGGAGCCCAAAAGGGAGAAGCAUCCCAUCAUCUGUGUGAGUGACUUGGGAAUGUAAAGUGAAGGAGGUGGAGGGCAGAGUUCCCACCCGGAAAGGAUUUUCAAGAUUUGAAAAAAUCAAAACAGCCCUCGGUGUUCCCCUUAUCUAUCAAUUAAAAUCAAACUAGUUUAUCAAGAUAAUAUCAUGCCACACAGGCUGACUGCAGUAUUAGUGAUUUUGUCUGUGGUGUAAGAAAUCCAGAUUCAGAUGCUUCACGUGCCAUCACCAAUGUGUACUUGGGCUGUUGGCUGCUGUGUUUGUGUUCCUAGAUCUCAUGUUGUCACUGCUAGUUCUAAGCUUGCAUUGAACCUCCAGCAGGUCAGACCUUGUUGGUCUGUGAUGAGACACAGCAUUUGUGCAUGACAGCACAGCUUUUAUAUUGCACAGGCUCCUAAAGAUGUUGUUCUAAUGAUGGGAUAAAACAACUGCUGCCUCCCUGAAUCGCUCCGUGUGCUGAAGACAGAGGGAUGCAAGUGAGGGCUGUUCCCAGGGUGGGUGCUGGGAACACAGUGUGAGAGCAUGCAGUGCUGUGCAGAAACACAGCUUAAGGUCAGACUCAGCUCUAAAGCUUCCCCAGAAUCCCAAAUCCUCUUUUUAUAUGAGUUCUACCAAAUACAAACAAUUAAAGAAUUUCAUCUUCUCCUACUAUGGUGGAAAAGCCUGAAUGCUUCUCUAAACUUUAUUAAAAAGCUUCAGUGUGUUCCCUAGGUGAGGGUCCUGCUUGGCUUCUGAGAGCCCAUAUCUUUGUGUUUGGUGCGAAUGAAUCAGUCACUGAUGCCAGUUGGCAGUGGGGAAGAGAAAUAACACAGCCCAUUGCAAAGAGGAAAAAAAAGCAGCUAUAAGCCUCAUGUCUGCCAUUUGACAAGGACCCCAGUCAAUGGCAGCUUUACAGAGACCUCCACGAGGGCUAUUGCACAUCCCUGCUAUCUGCCUCCACUUAUGUUCUUCUCCUAGGGAUUACACCAGUGCCAGGUUUCAAGCCUAAGCACCAUACAUUCCAGUGCCAGCCUGGAGCACAGGGAGAAGCAUUUUCUAGCUUCAGUUUUGGAAUGUACCCCACUGGUAGCAACAGGCUGGUGGGACAGGCAGGAACCUUCCCCUGGGCCAGGUCUCUCUGGCGGGCAGCAGCUCUCUCAUCACCAGGGGUUUGUCAAAGCGUGCGGUAUGCUAACAUCCUGCCAGCUCACCUUUCGUAAGCUGAGUCAAAAGCAUUAUUCCCACCAGUGCAAACACGGCGUCUGCCACAUGUCUGCUGGUUUCUCCCCACUGCACUGAGGCAAAGCAGCCCUUCCUUGUCAGUCAUUGACCAAAAGCUGUUGAUUCUGGAACGACUGACUGCACUGGUUGUAAGGGAUGCCAAAAACCCCUGAAAGCUGGGAGGCAAAGGUGUUUUCUUUUUAAAUGAAUUAAGCUGUAGAAGGAAUUUCCCUGAGAGCUUGUUUGAUAUCUGGAAUAGAAAUGGCUUUCCGUCUCCAUCUCCACCUACUCAGCACUCAGAGCCGUAUCCAGAGAGCCUGCAGACACAUCUGCCCUCUCCUCUGUGUCACAGCUCCUCUGCAUUUUGUCAACUGCUGACAAACAUUCCAGCUAGAAUACCUUUGCUGAGCUCCUGGAUGGGAAAAAUAAAGAGGAUUUACCUGAGUCCAACCCAUCUGCAUGUAGUAAGUGAUGCACGGGUUGAAAUUGGGGUAUUAGGGGGAAUGCAGAGCUACAGGCGCAGUGUUCCAAGCUUCCCACUGGGAUUAGGGAACAUAAGCACUGCUGGGGAGAAAGAAAACAGGAGGGUUCAGAUCAUGGAGAACGGAGCAGAUGCAAACAUGUGACACACAACUGAGAAGCAGUGCUCCAAGAGAGGCAAAUUUCCCCCAGCUGUGCCUGGAGUGGGUGGGUUGUGCUUUUCCUGUGCCUGGGCCGGUUGACAGCAGCUGCCACAAUGGGAUUUCCUUCAUCUUGGUGUUAAGGAGCUUCACUUUGUGCAGCUUGAAGUUUAUCUAGGUAAAAGUGAUUUUAUUAACAAACAGCUGACCUCGGGUUCAAGCUCUGAGUGGCAAUUUGAAUCUCUCCCAGGGUUAAAUAAAUUGAAGCCACCACAUUUGAAGUAAAAAGUUGCCAAGCUGCCUCUUUGUUGUGAAAUUCCAACAGGAGAAAUGUGUUUUCGAGGCACUCUGAUGCAUUUCAGGUUCAUUUUGGGGCUCGGCAUUUCAUGGCAGCUGGUUCUCUGAUUAUUUUCUAUUAAGGACCAACUUCCAGUAACAUCAGUGGGAGCAGGAUUUCAGCUCUAAAUCUAUUAUUAACUAAUACAGCACAACAAUGCCUGGCUUUUGUUCUGUUUUGUUUUCUCCCAGGGUCGGAACGUGUGUGUAUCCCAUUAACUCUGUCCUCGCUGCUCUCAAGAUGUCCCACACAAAUGAUUUUUUUUUUUUUUUUUUUGUAAGAAAAUAUAUUUUACUAGGCAGUUUUAUGAGAGCUGACAAAAUGCCUCAUAAAUAACCCAGCAGGAAAUAUGGGGUAAAUAAAAUUUUUACAACUUUAUCAUAAACCUGAGAAGUCUUUGGUUCCUUUUCGAAUGGAAUGAGCGAGGUAUUUCAUUAAAGGAAAAGACAUGCUCUCUAAAGCCCAACAAUUACAGACACAAUGCCUUUUUAACCUGCAAUUCAGUCAAACAGGUUUGGUGGCAGUGGAAAAUGUAAAAGGCCUUGUUUUGGCCCUGUUUUGACACUUUGGGUCACGCUCCCCCAUGGGUCGGUUUGUGCCCUGGGUUCAGGCAGGCUGCAGUUUUGCACAGGGGGAUGCGAUCAGGGCCCUGAGUGCAGGGGGGAAUAUAAACAAUUAUGGCCCUCAGGUCUUCAGCACAAGCCUGCAAUGCGAUGAGUUGGUCAAAGACCAAGUGUCUGAAAUAGAAACGCUUGGAACAACCCUCAGUCCCCGAACUUUGCAUGAAGGGGGAAUUCAGCUCUCAGCGGGAGCAUCUUUGACACGUGAUACUUUGGUACUGUGGGAAGAUGGGAGGGGGUGCCACUUUUAUGUCCUUUGCGCUUGGAAGAAUUCAUACUGACAGCCACGACUGUUUUCUACUUAAUGGUGAAAACAGAAAUCUGGCAAAAUACAACCUGGGUUGUAUGUACGGGUGUAUAAGAAGUAUGGAAACUGCCUUCCAAAGGAAGUGACGAAAUGCCACUGUAUGCCUGACUGAUCUGAUGAAAUACCAGACAAAACAAUCUGGAGUGAAGCAAGGCCCUUAGCCUUUCUCACACCUCUGAUCCUCUGCUCUACCUCACUUGUGUUUCUGUGUUAGCUGAAAACAGGAUCAGCAGAACUGGAACUGUUCAGACCCACACGUUACCUUCCCUGUGCUGUGAGUGGAGCUCUCAGGCCCAACAGAGGAAGAGCAGAGUGAACUCCGCCACCGUGGCCUCACCUUGCUGGCACCGCAGGUUGUUCCACUAUGACUCCCACCUCUCCUUCAGGGCCCGAUUGCAUAAAGCCCACCACCUUCCCUUCCAGGCACUCUUGCAUUCCCCUGUGCUCCCAUCCCUCUGGGCUUACCCACCCACCCUCAGAUCACACGGGUCCUUAGGACAUCUACAGCAACUUCCUACAGGCAUGUCACAUCAGGAAGAUAUUUAAAGCCUUUGUAGAUCUAAUGCUUUCUAAAUAGGAGGUAAGCUCACCCCACACUACCACUCCAGAGUGCUUUUGAUGUCAAUUUCUUUUAUGAGCACUUUGGGAAUGGGGCACUUUGGGGAUAGCUGCUCCCUGCACCAACAGGUCUGCAGUCCCCCUUGCCUGAUCACACACUGUGCUCAGAGCUGACACUGCAGCCAAGUCAGGGUGUCCCUGGGAGCUUUGCCUGUAUAAGGGCUCCAGGCUCUGGCACGUUGUCUGGAAAGCACUGUGUAAAUAGGAGAGACAAUUAUUGCAACCCUUUCCCAAAAGGAAAUUCCAUAUUGGCACCGAACGGGGCGUUGUAUGGCAGAGCACAGCCCCGACAGAGCAAGCUGCCCUGGCAGCAACUGAGAGCACGCUGAGGGAAAUUGGCUUUUUGGUGGGACAUGUGCUUUAGUGAAAGCCCAUAUGUUACAGAGUUAUCUGCUGUGAAUCCCCCAGCAUUAUCCCCACGCCUCUGUCACCGCCCCCCUGCCUCAGCC